rnacentral:lncRNA from 1 species
AUGACUCUUGCAGCACAGUUUGAAUCUCUCUUCUCGCAUUCAACUGACGACUUAGCCACUGUUGAGCAAAUUUUAUCCUUCGGAAUUUACGAUAUUCUCACCCCUAGGCUUUCAUCUGCAAGUUUCUUCACGCUCUGCUUUUGGGUCCUGUGGAACCACAGGCAUGAUGUUGUAUUCCAAGGAAGACCACCUUCAAUUGCUUCAUGCUUGCAACGCGGAAUUUCGGAAUCCUCCCUAUGGGCUGAAACUUUUACACCUGAUGAUAGAUUUGUAAUAGAUGUUUGGAAAGGUGUUUUCUCUUCUAGUCUACAGACUCUUCAUCCGAUAUAAUAAGACAUUU